rnacentral:lncRNA from 1 species
UUAAACCACUCUCCUCAGGGAGAGGAGUUGAGACCGAAAGCGGAAGUCACGGGGAGCUGGCGGCUGGGUUGGGCGGCGGAUCUGCAGAGUUUCGAGGUUCUGUCAAGUUCGCUGCCCGCCGCCCAACUUGAAGCCUCAUUUACCUUUCGGCUACCUGAUUUGGAUAAAUGGAGAAAAACCGGGGCCUCUAACUCAUAAUGCCCUCCCGCGUUCAAGAUGCCAGUUUUGGGGCGGAGAUUUCUAAAUUAAAGCCUACAUCCCGCGCGGGAAUAUCUGCUGGUAAUUUCUCGCCUGCCAGAAAACUCCUUUGAUCUCUGGCUGUGGAGACUCGGGACCCCUACCCAAGUAUGGGACACUGCCUCCGUUGGGGUUAUCUCAGAUCAAUGGAAUGGGAACAAGCUAUCCGGCCUGGGCGCCGUUCACGUCUCACAUCUGAGAUCGUAACACCGACUGUGCUUAGGACCUCAGCAAUAACUUUUUGCCGUCUCUGGCCCACUGACUCCUCUCAAAAUGUCCCCUGGUCCUUUUGCUAUUCACGUAUUUCUGUGGGCUUGAGAUUUGCUUAACUCCUAUAUUGGCAAAAGGCCACUUGAAAUCGCUAGCAGAUACUCGAUAACCUGAAAGGUGAGGAAGUAGGCUCAGAGAAAUUAAGCAGCUUUCCCAACUUCACACAGUGAGUAAGUACAUCUAUCUGACCCCAGAGUUACCCUUUUCUAUCAUGCCCCCGUAGGAUAUUGCCUGGGGACACCUGACAACAGAAAGUCUAAGGUUUUCAUCUAGGAUUGGGAGUUACCCCAACACCAGCAGGAUGCAGGAAAAAGUAACUGACCGGAUGGUUGCCUCAAUCUGUUGAUUCUUCAGUGAGUUAGCUCAGAUUUUGUCCAGGAACAGCUUUCAGAGCCAAAGAUUACGUAUUGAACUUUACCAAGGCAUCUGGUGACUAGAAAACUCCUGGAAGGUGGUCAUAGCAGAAAUUGUUGGGAAAGUUCUCAGCAUAAUAAAAGAGAAAUUUUUAUUUCCUUCAUGAUCCACUCCUACAGGGAAAAAUAAAUGGCAAAUGAACCCAUGUAUGUCAAACUCUGUAAUAAACACCAGUGAGAUCACAGUGUCAGGAAAUUUCAGCCUGAAUUAAAGAUACCCUUGCUCUUAAAA